GGCUGGACGGAUAACAUGCCGGAAGUUGCCCUGCUGCUGCGUCACUACUCACUAGUUAGUUGGUGACCGGUAUUAAAUAACGAGAUUGACAUCCAUCAACCCUCGAUCUAUCUAUCUAUACAGACUAAUGCGCGCGCAAAGCCACACGGAAGUCUAGUCGUGGAACCUGAAACACACACACGGAGUCCGGUGGCAGCUCUCGCGGGGGUAACUGAUGGCGGCGCCGGAGGGGGAGGAGAAGGCGGCGACGGGACACCCGCUUCUGCGGGUGCUCAGGCGGGACAAGUACACGCACGGGCUCUACCCGGCGCAGAUGGAGGCCCUCCGGGCCAUGUGCGACGCGCUUAUCCCGUCGCUGCCACCGGAGGAGGCCCUCGACGGGCGCCGGGACACGCCACGCGACAAGGACCUCGAGCGGUUCUACCUCGCAUCCGGCGCCGACUCCACCAUUCCCGACGAGGUGGCGGAGCUGGCCUUCACCCGGUGCGUGUGGGAGGCAGGGCUGCUGGUGCAUGUCACGCUCUGGCUCCUGUGCACGCGGCUCGGCACGCUGGCACUGUGCGGCCGGCUGUGCGUCUCCGGCGAGUUCCCGUACGUGCGGCGCUUCGCUGACAUGCCGGUGGGGAGGCGGGAGGAGGCGCUCGGGCGCUGGACCAGGGCGCGGUGGCUCAUCCCCGUCAAGAUCGCCUUCGCCAUUGUCAAGAGCCUCUGCUUCAACGUCUUCUACACCAAGGUGAACGAAAACUCUGAGAACCCAUGCUGGAAAGCAAUAGGGUUCAGCGUGCCGAACGUGAAAGAGCAACGAAAGAAACAUCCAACGGAAGCGGCAGCGCUGCGGCCUCUGGACAAGGGCGUCGUGGAGACGAGGGAGCUGGACGACGCCACCCUGCUCAGAUCACUCGCGGACAAGGGCCUCGCAGUCAAGCCGGCCACGUCGGGCUAUUAUCACGCGGUGGAAUGCGACGUCGUCAUCGUCGGUUCAGGCUGCGGCGGCGGCGUGGCCGCCGCGGUGCUCGCGUCCGUGGGGCACAAGGUGCUCGUUGUCGAGAAGGGGGACUACUUCACCCCCGAUGACUACAGCUCCGUCGAGGGCCCGUCCAUGGAGCGCCUCUACGAGCAGGGAGGCAUCUUCUGCACGUCCAACGUCACGACCGUCCUGUUCGCCGGCACCACCGUCGGCGGCGGCUCGGCGGUGAACUGGUCCGCCAGCAUCCGCACGCCACGGGAGGUCCUGCUGGAGUGGUCGCGCGACCACGGGCUCCCGGUGUUCGGUAGCGCGGGCUACGUGCAGUCCAUGGACGCCGUCUGCGCCCGGCUCGCCGUCACCGACGGGUGCCGGGAGGAAGGGUUCCAGAACAAAGUGGUGCGCCGCGGGUGCGAGGCGCUCGGGUUGCCUGUUGACUGCGUGCCGCGCAACUCCUCCGAGGGCCACUACUGCGGGAACUGCUACCUGGGCUGCCCCACCGGCGACAAGCGCGGCACCGACACGACGUGGCUCGUCGACGCCGUCCAGGACGGCGCGGUGAUCCUGGCCGGGUGCAAGGCCGAGCGCUUCAUCCUCCAGAACAACAUCAACGGCAAGAACGGGCGGAGCAAGAAAUGCGUCGGCCUGGUGGCCACGUGCGUGGGCAGCGGCAUCACCAAGAAGCUGCGCAUCGAGGCCAAGGUGUCCAUCUCGGCGUGCGGGGCGCUCAUGACGCCGCCGCUGCUCCGCAACAGCGGCCUCAGAAACCGGCACGUCGGCCGGAACCUGCACCUCCACCCGGUGUCAAUGGCGUGGGGGUACUUUCCGGACACGAACCAGGUGCCCCAGCUCACCGGCAAGUGCUACGAAGGCGGUAUCAUCACGAGCAUGCACCGCGUCACCGAGCGCACCAUCAUCGAGACGCCAGCGCUGGGGCCGGGGGCCUUCGCCUCGUUGGUCCCGUGGGAGUCGGGCCGCGACAUGAAGGAGAGGAUGCGCCGGUACGCCCGCACCGCGCACGCGUUCGCGCUGGUCCGCGACCGCGCCGCGGGGAGCGUGUACGGCGAGGGCCGCGUGCACUACAGCCCGAGCCGCGACGACAUCGAGGAGCUCCGCGACGGCCUGCGCCGCGCCCUGCGCAUCAUGGUGGCCGCCGGCGCGGCCGAGGUGGGCACGCACCGCAGCGACGGGCUGCGGCUGCGGUGCAAGGGCGUGCAGGACAAGGACCUGGAGGCGUUCCUGGACGAGGUGACCGUGCCGAGGGGGCCGAUGCAGCCGGGCACGGACACGUGGGCGCUCCUCUGCUCGGCGCACCAGAUGGGCAGCUGCCGGAUGGGCUCCAGCCCCAAGGAGGGCGCCGUCGACGGCAGAGGCGAGAGCUGGGAGGCCGAGGACCUGUACGUCUGCGACGGCAGCCUCCUCCCGACUGCCGUUGGUGUGAACCCCAUGAUCACCAUACAGUCUCUCGCCUACUGCCUCGCCAUGGAUAUCGCCCAGUCCUUGGCAUAGAGCGAGAAACAGAAGCGGAGCAUGUAUGAUGUGUGUUCGUUGUUGGUUAAUCACAAGUGCCAUCCGCACAGCAUUCUUAGGGCUUGUUGGGAGUCACUUCCAUUCCGUGACUCCGCUCCCGGAUCAGCCGGAGCCGUUGUUUAAAUUUAUGAAGCGGGAAAACAGGUAUUCCGUGGAUCCAUAAAUUUGACGAAGCUGAAGGUUUCCUCGGCUCAUUAACCUCGUGAUCCCUAAGCUUGGUAGGUCCAGAGCGCUUAUUCACGAGAAUUGGCACAAACAUCUAAUAGGCAUCUAAAUUUCUCAAGAACCGUGGCUACAAAAUUAUAAAUGGUACUCUCUCUAAUCCUUAAUAUAAAAUGUUUUUGCAGUUUAAUGUGAA